UGGGGAAUCUUGCGCAAUGGACGAAAGUCUGACGCAGCGACGCCGCGUGGGUGAUGAAGGCCUUCGGGUUGUAAAGCCCUGUGGGGAGAGACGAAUAAGUCCAGGCUAAUCACUGGAUGAUGACGGUAUCUCCUUAGCAAGCACCGGCUAACUCUGUGCCAGCAGCCGCGGUAAGACAGAGGGUGCAAACGUUGUUCGGAAUUACUGGGCGUAAAGCGUGUGUAGGCGGCUUUGUAAGUCGGAUGUGAAAGCCCCGGGCUCAACCUGGGAAGUGCAUUCGAUACUGCAAAGCUUGAGUAUCGGAGAGGUCGGUGGAAUUCUCGGUGGAGAGGUGAAAUUCGUAGAUAUCGAGGGGAACACCAGUGGCGAAGGCGGCCGACUGGACGAAUACUGACGCUGAGACACGAAAGCGUGGGGAGCAAACAG
rnacentral:rRNA from 1 species